UACGGGGGGAGCAAGCGUUGUUCGGAUUUACUGGGCGUAAAGGGCGCGUAGGCGGCACCGCAAGUCGACUGUGAAAUCUCCGGGCUUAACUCGGAAAGGUCAGCCGAUACUGCGGGGCUAGAGUGCAGAAGGGGCAACUGGAAUUCUCGGUGUAGCGGUGAAAUGCGUAGAUAUCGAGAGGAACACCUGCGGCGAAGGCGGGUUGCUGGGCCAACACUGACGCUGAUGCGCGAAAGCCAGGGGAGCAAACGGG
rnacentral:rRNA from 1 species